UCUGGCUGCUCCAAGCACCCUGCUUUGAUGGCAGUACACGUCAGGCCACAAACAUCUUCACUGAGAAUGCUCGAAGAUGAAAGCAGUAAGAAGUCUUUCCAGAAUCAGCCUCACUCCUCCCCGGAAAACAGAACAUCACUAGUCUUUCAUCAUCUCUGCAGGUGGGAGAAUUGAUCCGAUUACAAAAGGAGAGGCAAGAGGGCUCCUCACGCACACUUUCAUACCUGCAUGCACAAGUAGAUUCUUCUUUUAGACCUGCGAGUCCUAUAGGUCCUGUCCGGUGGUCUCAGCAACUAUUGAUGAUGCUUCCUCCUAAACAUCCACUAUGAACACUUCCAUCUUGGCCAACCAGCAUGUGAGAACUUUCCAGACCAAAGGCAGCAUUUUCAUGUCAGAUAAGACAUCAAAUUUUCCUUCAUAGGAGGGGCUUCUGAGGAGUUAAGGACUCAUGGUUUCAGCCCAGGUCAUGAUCCCAGAGUCUUGAGAUCGAGCCCCACUCAGCAUGGAGUCUGCUUAAGACUCUUUCCCUCUCCCCCUAUUUUCUAUCUCUAAUAAAAUAAAGAAAAUCUUAAUUUUUUUUUCUUCAGGUGCCUGGGUGGCUCAGUUGGUUAAGCAUCUGCCUUCCGCUCAGGUCAUGAUCCUAGGGUCCUGGGAUCAAGCUCCACAUCAGGAUCCCUGUUCAGUGGGGAGUCUGCUUCUCUCUCUCCCUCAACCCCUUCCCCCUGCUUGUG